rnacentral:rRNA from 1 species
UACGUAGGGAGCAAGCGUUGUCCGGAAUUACUGGGUGUAAAGGGAGCGUAGGCGGGGAUGCAAGUUGGGUGUCAAAACUACCGGUUCAACCGAUAGUCGCACUCAAAACUGCAGCUCUUGAGUGAAGUAGAGGCAGGCGGAAUUCCUAGUGUAGCGGUGAAAUGCGUAGAUAUUAGGAGGAACACCAGUGGCGAAGGCGGCCUGCUGGGCUUUUACUGACGCUGAGGCUCGAAAGUGUGGGGAGCAAACAG